GAACAUGUGGACCCAUGUGGGCGAAUUAAGCAUCUGCCACAGAUGAAGAGUCCUUUGGAAUAGUAUUCGACAUCAUCAAAUAUUACGGCUGAAAAGAAGAGAGCACACUUUUCCAUUACUAUUGGCUCCUUUAAAUGUGGCCCCUUAUGCUUGGUGGGGGAUUUGCUAAUACCAGCAAAAUUGGCUCAGAAGAGCACACUGCAAUAGAGAGUCAAGGUGAAACUAAAUGAAGAAAAGAGGAGUACAGAAGUCUCCCUGGAGUGAGGGAACACUUAUUAAACAGAGUUCACCUUCAGCAGAAGAGGGCCUCACACUGAGUAUGAAAUCUCAAGAUCAG